rnacentral:piRNA from 1 species
CACUAGGGUAGAACUGUAUGAGCAUC